UUGUCUCUCACAUCUAAUCUCCUUGCCUCCUCCUGCGUCCUCCCUGUCUCUCUCGACUCUCUCUCUCUCCCCUCUCGACUCCGCCGCCGGCGCCGCUGCCCCGCGCCGGCCCGUCGCCGCCCACCCUUGUCGCUGCGUCGCGCCGCUGCCGCCCACCCUCGUCUCCCUCUUAAUCUCCUCUCUCUCUGACUCAAAUGCACGCACACCACACCGCGCCUGAAAUCUAGAUCUAUAAUCUACAGCCACCUCCCUGCCGAUUCCCGUCGACCGCACGGCGGGAAGGCCGCCGCCUCCGAGCGCAGCCCAAAGCCCCCUCUUCUCUCCAUACUCCGGCGACAACAGCGGCUCCUUGCCGCCGCCGUGCCCUAGCUUCAAUCCGCCGCUGAACUCCCUCUUCCGGCCGCACCACCUGUCCGACCACCACAGCACCAGCCCAGCCGCCUUCGUCGCAGCGCAACACCAUCGCGACCCACUCCAGAACCGCUGCCCCCCACCAUCUCCCGGCAUCUACACAAGGCGGCUUCGUGCGCCACCCAUCGUUCUUAUCAUGAACGCCGAGGAAGAGCCACCAGUCGGCGCGAUUUACACCAUACCAGCAGCGCCAAACACCUCCUGCCACCGUCUCCCGCCGCCCAGUCACCUUCGCCCUUUUCCUGUCACCACCGUCAGUUUCCAGACACUGCCGCGCGGCCCCAGCUCCAAUCUCAACCCCGCUGUCUGCCGGAGCGAGCCCUGCCCUCCUCCACCGUUCAGGGAAGUUUAUUUCUUCAUUUUUGUGUUGUUCCAAUCAGGACUUGAUUUUUUGCUAAAUUAGGGCUCAAAUCUAGAAAGAGGCUUCCCCAAAUUGAUCUAUAAAAGGAUUUGAACAUAUUGACGCUAUUAAGUCCAGAUUUUUAGAUAUAUUACACUAUUAAAGACUAAGAGAUGAACUAAUUCGAUGCUAUAUGGGAUAAAUGAAAUUUUCUUGCUACAAACACUGGAAAAGUAAUAGUGACAGAUUCUGUAUGUUUAUCAAUGUGGAUUGUUGCUGGUUAAUAGUUUAGAAGUAUAAUCAUCUUCCUUAUAGGAGAUUGUAGUGAUUGCUUUUACAGUGUGAAGUUUCUAUUGUGAAGGGGAUAAAAUGUAGUGCAUGUAGCAGUUGAAACAAUUAUAACUGUUAUUGUGCAUGGAUGAACUUCGAGGAAGUGUGAAUAGAGAACCUUUUGUGCUUGUGAACUAAAUGGUUGAGAUUAUUAAGACCUAAAAGUUCAUUACCAAAAAGUAUCUAAUUGCUAUAAUAAUUAGCUUUACGUUUCAUUUAGCAUUGCAGGUUCGGUGGACCUCGGAGGAGAGGAAGUGGUCCUUGUAUUUUACUCUUUUGUAGAAAUAAAAAAGCCUUUGAGUAGUUACUGAGCUACUUAUUGGUUCUUGGAAGAGCACUCACAUCCUUUUAUUUUCAUGGAGAUCACAAAUGACCUUUUAAUUUGCGGGUUUCUCACUCUUUUGCUGCCUGUGAAGGAGCUCUUACUUGUUGUAGAUGCCUCCCAGGUGCUUCUGGAUUCUUGAGGUGCUAAACCGGAUUGCUGGACUGGACAGGAAAUCAUGAUUUCCUAAUAGUUUUGAAUAAGUGAAUUUGGGCAUUCUUGAGGUAAGAUAGCUAAAUGUUUGAUGCUUAUGUAAUUGAACUCUUGGGAGCGUGGAAUGUGAUUAUAUGAUAGAAAUUGGGGGAUAUUGAGCAUGUUACUAUGUGUUGAGCCAAUUUUGAUUUAUGAAUAAGGGAUGAACGACUUUUAGUAUUGAGUGGAGAACUUGUGGUGAUUGGUUGUGUUAUAACUUGCUUUCUUGGUGUUGAUGAGUUAAAUAUGAUUUAAAUUUCAAGCUAAAGCAUGCUAAUGUGUAGUAAGAUGAUGUAUUUGAGAUCUUAUAGCUUUUAUUUGGCCAAAAUAUGAGUUAUAUGUUGAGUUUCAACAGAAACUGUAUUGCUGUCAAGUUUGGCUGGACAAACCAAUGUCUUGUGAGGGAUUUUCGAGAGUGUUCCUAUUGUCCAAAUAACUUGAAAUUUUUACUGUAAUAACUUCAGCAUGAGUAGGAGGUCUUUGUAAAAUUUCAGCUAAAUUGGACACCGUUAGAUAUGUCAAACAAUUUUCUUAAAAGUACUGCGCGAAGCAGCAAGGUUCUGUGGCAGAUUCUGCAUUUUGUGAGAUAAUUUCUUAUACACUUGAGAAGAUAUUGUAUUUUUGUAACUUUCUAAUAAAGAUAGACUUUAAUAGCUUUCUUAAAAGGUAAAGCUUGCAUUUUUCUUUGAAAAGGUUGAUUUUAUAUGAUUUUUCAAAGUUGAGAUAAUGAUUUUUCAAAGUUGAGAUUCAUGUUUCUUACUUGAGAAAGUUAUGAAUAGAAUUAUGCUAAGUAAUUGAUGUUUCAGUUAUUCCCUUCUUCUUUCCCUCGGACUAUAUUCAACUAUACGGUAUAUAUGUAACGUUGUGAGAGAGAGCAGAGUUGAAAUAUCUCUUUCAUAUUUCUUUUAUUUAAGAAGCUCGGGUUGGCUAUGUUUUGCAGAUGAACUCGCUCGUGUUGGUGCAGGUUCAUUAUUGUGAUUGAGUUUAUCAUCUUGGCGGAUCAAGUAGAUGGGAGUCGAUGAGCUAUGAGGACUACUACAAACGAGAAGGCUGAAGCAGAGAACGUCGUUUCAAAUGUCUAGCAAGUUGCGCGCAUUUGUAAUAUUUUUUAAUUAAACAUCUAGCUAAAUAGAAUAUAUGUGAAGUUUUCAUUAUAUUUGGAUGAUAAUGUAUGAAUAUUUUGGAUGAUAUAUAAUAUUGUUAUUGUUGAUUUUAUCA